CAAGAAGGCUGUGCCAUUGGAGGGGGGGGCUGGGCCUGGGGGAGCAGGCUGUGCCCUGCUGGGAGGGGAGAGGGUGGCCCUCCUGUGCCCUGGUUCAUGGAGUCCAAGGCCAGAAGGGCCCAUUGUAGUUAGUCUGACUUGCUGCAUGACACCAGUCCUAGCACUUCCCUGCAUUAAUUAAUUCCUGCUUUCCCGUCCAGUAGCUGUGGCUGAACUAGAGCAGAGCUUGUGGAAAAACAUCCAGUCUGGAUUUAAAAAUGUCCAGGGAUGGAGGAGAGUUCACCACAGCCCUCGGAUCCCGUCAGCCCUUUUGGCCACAGAGUUGCACUGGGAGCUCACGUUCAACUGAUUGUCCAUCAUGAUGCCCCCCCCCAAGUCUUUUUCACAGUCACUGCUUGCUGGAGCUGGGUCCCGCAUCCUGUCAUUGAUGAAGAUUUUAAAUAACGUAGGGCCAAGAACUGAUCCCUGUGGGACCUAUUAAAAACUCAUCCACUCAAGGAUUACACAUUGUGGCAUACACCUACUGUAAACUUUGAAGAGCAAGAAAAUGCCAAGUUAUAUGACACCUCUUAACCAGAGCUCCAGGCGCACCGAACAGGCUCUGCUGGCAGUACCAGAUUGCGCUGUUUCACAAGGAAUUCCCUUCCACCUCCAGCAGAUGAUCAAGCACCCUGCACACCACACACUGAUCUCACUUGCAUGAUCACAGAACCUUAAUGACAACCUCAGCAACAUUAGCAAAUACUUAGCACUGACAUAUGUGCACCACAGGUUAAAGUUUGGGCUGUGCCAUGUGAUCCUGACGGGAGCAAGCGCUAGUAAUUAAAGUUUUGAUCUGAUACUGUGAAGGAGGUAAAUGUGCUUGGGUGUAGUGUUUCUUUGUCUCUUGGCUGCAAAUGGAAGUUCUUUAUAAAGAAGUGGAGUCCGUCACUGGAGUCAAUGAAAACUGCUGUGUGGGAGUUGGGGUAUCCCAUAACUUGGCAUUUCUUUAAUUUUUUUCAGGGUUUGUGUUGUGGCGGAAGAUUUUAUGCUUCAUUCUAAAUGACAAUUUUAUUUAUGGGACUUCUUGGGAUUUUAGUAUGGCAAGCAUACAAGGAGUUGGAGACUCCAAGACCAGAAGGGAACACUGUAAUCAUCUAGUCUGACCUCCUGUAUAACACAGGCCAGAGAACUUCCUCAAAAUAAUCUCUAGAGCAGCUCCUUUAGAAAAAAACAGUCAAUCUUGAUUCUAAAAUUGCCAGUGAUGGAGAAUCUACUACAACCCUUGGUAAAUUGUUUCCCUUACUAUUAAAAAAAAAUGCCUUAUUUCUAGUCUGAAUUUAUCUAGCUUCAGCUCCCGGCCAUUGGAUUGCAUUGUACCUUUUUCUGCUAGAUUGAAGAGACCAUUCUUAAAUUUUUGUUCCCCAUGUGAGUACUCACAAAUUGUAAUCAAGUCACCCCUUAGCCUUCUCUUUUUCAAACUCAAUAGAUUGAUCUCCUUGAGUCUAGGAUAUGGAGCUCCCCAAACUUCAAGGGAUAUGGUGGAAACCGGGAUGUUUGAGGUGGGGGAGGAAGCUGUGGUGGCUAAUUGGGAAAUGGGAUUGGUGGGUCCAUCUCUGCUUUUUCUCCCUGCAAUGUUGUCUACAUUCCUAGGUCAAGUGCCAUAUCUGAUUCCCUGGGUCAGCCACAGCUUCUCAGAGCCCAGAAGCCUCAGUGAAUAACUAACUAGCUGCACAGCAAAAAAUGACAUGAAAUUAAUGUUACCGUUGCAAAAAACUCAGAAGUUACUACAUUAAAAUAAA